GGAAGUAAAAGUCGAACAAGGUUUCCGUAGGUGAACCUGCGGAAGGAUCAUUACAGAGUUCAUGCCCUCACGGGUAGAUCUCCCACCCUUGAAUAUUUAUACCUUAGUUGCUUUGGCAGGCCGUGGAAACACCAUGGGCUCCGGCUUAUGCGUGCCUGCCAGAGGAAACAAACUCUGUUUUUAGUGAUGUCUGAGUACUAUAUAAUAGUUAAAACUUUCAACAACGGAUCUCUUGGUUCUG
rnacentral:misc_RNA from 1 species